rnacentral:rRNA from 1 species
GACGAACGCUGGCGGCGUGCCUAAUACAUGCAAGUAGAACGCACAGUUUAUACCGUAGCUUGCUACACCAUAGACUGUGAGUUGCGAACGGGUGAGUAACGCGUAGGUAACCUGCCUGGUAGCGGGGGAUAACUAUUGGAAACGAUAGCUAAUACCGCAUAAUAUUGAUUAUUGCACGAUAAUUGAUUGAAAGAUGCUAUUGCAUCACUACCAGAUGGACCUGCGUUGUAUUAGCUAGUAGGUGAGGUAACGGCUCACCUAGGCGACGAUACAUAGCCGACCUGAGAGGGUGACCGGCCACACUGGGACUGAGACACGGCCCAGACUCCUACGGGAGGCAGCAGUAGGGAAUCUUCGGCAAUGGACGAAAGUCUGACCGAGCAACGCCGCGUGAGUGAAGAAGGUUUUCGGAUCGUAAAGCUCUGUUGUAAGAGAAGAACGGGUGUGAGAGUGGAAAGUUCACACUGUGACGGUAGCUUACCAGAAAGGGACGGCUAACUACGUG